rnacentral:lncRNA from 1 species
AAACAUACCAACAAACCUCCUUUAACAAUAAUAUAGUUUACAAUAAAGCCCCUAGAUCCUCCUCGAGACAACACAAAAUCUGCUUUUCGUAAAAAGAACUUCACUUGCCACAAACAGAAUCUCUGUCAACUUUCACCUAAACACCAACAUAAGACAAACGGAAAACGUUAUUCGUACACACUAUCUGAAAUCUUACACAUUACACCCUUCACUUUCCCAUACUUGACAGUUUCAAACCUACGGAGAUUUUCUUGGUCCACAUUCCUAGGGAGCAUGUUUGGUUGGUGGAUAACCAAAUUUUUGUCCCUAAUGUUGAAUUAUUUUUUUAAAAACGGCGUUCUGAAGUCCAGUGUGGUGCCUUGGGGCUAAAAUGCACCGAUACGACUCUCGAAUCAAGUAGUUCCAUGAUCGGUGUGAAACUAACACAUCGUGGGACUUUGUAUUGGUUAAUUGAAGCCCCUCUUGAUAUCGCGUAAUCCAUUAACUCUUCGAACGUGCCGUUUUGCACGAUCCGGAUCUCUAGCGGCCCGAUAGAGUUAUCCGCCACCCGACUUUGUCGAUAAACCGAGUUUAAAGACUCCUCCAUAGCCAAACAACAUUGAUCCAACACGUCAUCAGUGGGCCCAUUAGUCGGAUCUUUAAUCAACAACUCCCAGUAGAUAACAUAAUGGCCCGGAAUCGUCUUCGUGUCGCCAUAGCUAGUAUACUCUACAACCGUCGUGUUAAAUUCUUUUAACAACUCGGACGCGUUUUCAACCGCGGAUUGCAACUCAGUUUCGUCGGUUUUAUCCGCAUCGAUGCUGAGUAAAACAUUUUUUCGCCUAAUGAAUUUGAAUUGCGGUGCGGAGUUAUGGAACCCCUUCACUUGGAGAAUAUCGCCAACGCGGUACCUACAGAGACCCGAGUAUGUGGAGAUCACUAGCUCGUACUCUUUACCUAGCUCCAAGUCCGCUAGAUCAAGUAAAUGAGGAGGCUGAUCACGAGAAAUAGUAACCGGAUUCGACGGAUCAUGCGGGAUGAACUCGAAGUAACCCAUGUUUGGCAUGAUGGUGUAACAAACCUCAGAUGGUUUCACCAUUGGGGUUAAAUUUAACCCAAAGUAACAUUCCGAAGACGCGUACAUAGUACACGUUUUCGGUAAAUUACCGCUGUAAUAAUCCAAUAUAGGAAUAUAUUGGGCCAUUGCACCAGUGACAAUAACGUCAAGGUACUUGGUGUUGGGCCAAAUUCGAGUAAUAAUCCCCUCCCAAUUCCCUUCACAACAUUCUUCUCUAACAAACCGGGCCAGGUCCGGGUUCGGUUUUAGGAUCUUUGAAACACAAUCCCGAACCGCGGGGUCUAUGAUUUUGGUGCUCAACUUUCCGCUUUCGAUAUCCUGAGCCAGUUCUUGCCAGUUGAGUUGGAGAAACUUGAUGGCCCGAACAAGGCCCGAGGCGAAAACCGCGCCACAUCGAAGCACUUCUUCGCGGUAUAUGAGGCCACAAAGCAUUUGAGAGUACAUGCUUUGGAAAGAGUCGACACAUAGGAUGGUUUCGUUUGGGCUGGUGUAGACGUUGUACGGGUCGAAGGGUCGGGUUUUGAACUGCUGGCUUUUGUAGUAGCUUGUUAAGACCGGACGAGCCACUAACCCACUUGGGGUUUUUGAUUCAGCCUUUAUGAAUAAAAAGUACAAACCCUUUCCUUUGUCUAGCCCAGAUUCAUGACAGGCAUGAGAAGGCUGUAGAGCUUCUGCCUUCGGUCCAUUUCUGCAGCAAUAGUAGGCAUGAGUUUUCUUUCACCAGCAGAAGUACC